CGGACGGGUGAGUAAUGUCUGGGAAACUGCCUGAUGGAGGGGGAUAACUACUGGAAACGGUAGCUAAUACCGCAUAACGUCGCAAGACCAAAGAAGGGGACCUUCGGGCCUCUUGCCAUCGGAUGUGCCCAGAUGGGAUUAGCUAGUAGGUGGGGUAAAGGCUCACCUAGGCGACGAUCCCUAGCUGGUCUGAGAGGAUGACCAGCCACACUGGAACUGAGACACGGUCCAG
rnacentral:rRNA from 1 species